GACGAACGCUGGCGGCGCGCUUAACACAUGCAAGUCGAGCGAUGAAACUUUAACAUUGCCCUUCGGGCCUAAGAUAAAGUGGGUUAUCGACCGAGUGGGUAGUAACACUUUAGUAACGUACCUUCGACGUGAGGAUAGCCUCUGUAAACCAUGAUUAAUACCAAAUAAAAGCAUAAUGACACAUGUCAUAACUGUCAAAACUCCUGGAGGCUAACAUGGACUUUCGUCCCAUUAGCUAGUUGGUAGAGUAAAAAGAUACCAAGGCGGGGAUGGGUAGCCGGGAAGAGAGGGUGAACGGCCACAUUGGAAAUGAGCAACGGUCCAAAAUCCUACGGGAGGGAGGAGUGGGGGAUAUAGCACAAUGGAGUGAACUCUGAUGCAGCGACGACGGGAGAACGAAGAAGGCUUUCGAGUCGUAAAGUUCUUUUAUAUGGGAAGAUAAUGACGGUACCAUAAGAAAAAGCCCCGGCUAACUACGUG
rnacentral:rRNA from 1 species